UUCAUUGUUUUUUUUGCUUCAGUCUUGAUCAGAAUACAUAACGAAAUCCUAUUGGAUAUGGAUAUUUGAAGUAAAUCUUGUCAUCCAAUUGUUUAGUGAUGAUGUGGUGAAAAUAAAAGGUAUGUACUUCAAUUUUUUCCCUUAAAACAAUUGUGCCAACUAAGUUAUUUACAAUAAAAAACUUUUCAUAUCAGGGCAUUUGGUCUAGUGGUAUGAUUCUCG
rnacentral:lncRNA from 1 species